rnacentral:lncRNA from 1 species
AUGACCUUAAGAUGGCCCCUGGACAGUGGAACUCUCUGGUCCCUGUCCUGCUGUCUGUCGCGGUACCUGCCUUUCCUCUUGACACAGGACAAAGACCAUCUCAGGCCCCUGAUGGGUGAGUGGCCUUCCUCAGAGGCCUCCUGCGAAGCUGGGAGGUGCCACAAGAUGCUUUCUGCAUGGUCACCUCUAGGGUUUGCUCUGAACAGGUGAGAGCAGCAUGAACUCGAGGGUCCCAUCUGUCUCUCUCUCUCCUGAGCCAGGUCUUUGACCCAAGUCCCAACCAGCCUGGAGUAUAUGGGUGACUACUAACACAGCUUCUGGGGCCACCUCACCAUUCAGGCCCCCACCACCCCCAAGGACACAGCACAUAUGCACCAUGUGAGCACCAUACACACAGUGCCCAUCAGACACACCUUGUCUGCUGUGGCCUGGACAAGUGUCCCCAAGCCUGUGUGUGACAGGUAUGGUCCUUAGCAUGGCACCACAGGCAGGUGGUAGAGCCCUCAAGUAGUUCCUAGGGGUCCUAGGGUCACUGGAAGGACCCUAAAGGAGACUGUGAGGUCCCGGUCUCUACCUCUUCCUCUCUGGAUUUUCAGUUUCUGGCUCAUGAGGUAAGUGGUUUUCUUUGCCACUUGCUCCUGCCAUGAUGUACAGCUAUUGCCAGAGACCCAGAGCCAUGGAGACACCUGACCAUGGGCUGGAACCUCCAAAACUGUGAGCCAGAAUAAACCUUUUCUCUUUAUAAGUUGAUGGUCUCAGGUAUUUUAUCAUAGUGACAGGAAGCUGACAGAACACCCAUGCACAUAGCAAAUACACAGACAGAGAGGUAUCAUGCAUGUAUGAACACAUACAUAUAUACCACACACACACACACCAUACACCAAACAUAGACACGACACACACAUACUAUCAUAUCACACACACCACACACAGGUCGACACCGCAUAGCACAUACAGGCACAGGAACACCACAUACACACAUACCACAUACAUCACACAUUUACACGUACACAACACACACACUUAACACACACACA